rnacentral:rRNA from 1 species
AACGAACGCUGGCGGCAUGCCUAACACAUGCCAGUCGAACGAGACCUUCGGGUCUAGUGGCGCACGGGUGCGUAACGCGUGGGAACCUGCCCUUAGGUUCGGAAUAACUCCCCGAAAGGGGUGCUAAUACCGGAUAACGUCUUCGGACCAAAGAUUUAUCGCCUUUGGAUGGGCCCGCGUUGGAUUAGCUAGUUGGUAGGGUAAAAGCCUACCAAGGCGACGAUCCAUAGCUGGUCUGAGAGGAUGAUCAGCCACACUGGGACUGAGACACGGCCCAGACUCCUACGGGAGGCAGCAGUGGGGAAUAUUGGACAAUGGGCGAAAGCCUGAUCCAGCAAUGCCGCGUGAGUGAUGAAGGCCUUAGGGUUGUAAAGCUCUUUUACCCGGGAUGAUAAUGACAGUACCGGGAGAAUAAGCGCCGGCUAACUCCGUG